rnacentral:rRNA from 1 species
AUUGAACGCUGGCGGCAGGCCUAACACAUGCAAGUCGAACGAGUGGCGGACGGGUGCGUAAUGUCUGGGAAACUGCCUGAUGGAGGGGGAUAACUACUGGAAACGGUAGCUAAUACCGCAUACCAUCGGAUGUGCACAGAUGGGAUUAGCUAGUAGGUGGGGUAAAGGCUCACCUAGGCGACGAUCCCUAGCUGGUCUGAGAGGAUGACCAGCCACACGUGAACGGCUACACGGUCCAGACUCCUACGGGAGGCAGCAGGGGGGAAUAGUGCACAAUGGGCGAAAGUCUGAUGCAGCCAUGCCGCGUGAAUGAAGAAGGCCUUCGGGGUGUAAAGUACUGUCAGCGGGGAGGCGUUAUCCGCAGAAGAAGCACCGGCUAACUCCGUGCCAGCAGCCGCGGUAAUUC